rnacentral:tRNA from 1 species
UCCGGUGUCAUCCAACGGCAGGAUGCGCGGUUGUUACCCGCGUAAUGCUGGUUCGAGUCCAGCCGCCGGAG